CUCGCUUCUCGGCCUUUUGGCUAAGAUCAUGUGUAGUAUCUGUUCUUAUCAGUUUAAUAUCUGAUAUGUCCUCUAUUUGAGGACUAUAUAUUAAAUGGAUUUUUGGAGCUGGAGCAAAGCUAC
rnacentral:sRNA from 1 species